CUCUCUGCACUGAGGGAGGAGGGACUGCUGUUGGAGGCUGACUGUAGGACCAUCAUCACAGACUGCAGUCAACGACUUUCAACAUGACUGUUAUAACCAGCCUGCUUCUGAUUACAGUGUUCUUAAAAAGUGUUAAAUGUCAGACUCUGACUGAGUCACAACCAGCAGUUAAAAAGCCUGGAGAAUCCCACAAACUGACCUGCACAGCCUCUGGGUUCACAUUCAGCAGCGAUGGAAUGAAUUGGAUCAGACAGGCUCCUGGGAAUGGACUGGAGUGGGUUGCCUACAUUGGCACAUCUAGUUCACCCAUCUACUAUUCCAAAUCAGUUGAGGGAAGAUUCAUUAUAUCCAGAGAUGACUCCAACAGCAAGCUGUACCUGCAGAUGAACAGGCUGACAGCUGAAGACUCUGCUGUGUAUUACUGUGCCAGAGACCCACAGUGAGAGAAGUCAAGCCUGAGCCCUGACAAUAACUCUCUACAUGAAACUGUCACCACAGCAGACUUCAGGGAAUUCAUAUUUUUAAUGCCCCUGCAGAGAGUCUGAAUAUUGAAAGUCAACUUGCUAUUUUUAUCUCUGUAAGGGAGAGACAUUAUUUAUUUUGAUAGUUAAUGUACAUUUCAUUUAAUAUUUUGUUUUGAACUGAACAUUUACUCUAUGGAUAAUGCACACUCUUCACUGACUUAAAGAAAUAAACAGCACAGUGAUAAACAGUUGAAGAAAGCACUGGAACAGUGUAUGAUGUUGUUACAUGAGAGACGUUCCUCAACAGGUCCAAUCUAACAUUUCUAUGUGCGACAUAUUAUAUUUGUAUUUACUCCUAACUAAUAACAGCCAAUGCGCUGUCAUAUUUGUUUAAUCUAUAGUAGCUUAAUGAAUACCAAGUACUUCAGCCCUCAGUCUCCUCAUCUUAUGAGCUGAACUCUCUCUAAAACAUUCACAUACAAAGACUGUGACUGAUUUCAUAGCUUUAAUGUCAUUUCCUGUGUAAUUUGUGUCUGCAGUUUACAUUAAAUUGUAUUAAGCUGUUGUGUUCCUUCUAAAGGUGCGAUUAAUAGUAAUUCAGUUAUGCAUAAUAAAUCUGUGAUCCGUUUGUAUUAUACCUUAUUGGUAAAUUUUAGAGACAUGUAAAGUUACUUAUUAUCAUUGAGGUAAAAGAGUACAGUAAGAGUGCAGAUUUUGUAUAGAGUACAGUUCAGUACCAUUUCUCUACAUGUAAAUUAGCACAUAGUCCAUCCAUCCCAUUAGCAUUAUAAAUUAGUUUACGCAAACAGCAGUUCCAGAUCCAAUGCUAGUGUUCUUGUCAUACCUGUAAUGCAUUAAUAAAACAAACUACAUAAACAGA